UCUCUCGCUGGAAGUUAGUAUACGGUGAGUAGAUGUGAAACUUUGUUUCGAGUUUCACUUGUUUCGAGUUUGAUGCGUGUUGCACUUGUUGCAGUUUAUCUUAUACGGAGCCAUUUCUUUGAUCGGCAUUUGUUUUGAGUAUGACACUUAAACGAGGUUAUUACGGAUUGCCAAGUGAGACGUGCACUAUUUUACACAUCAACGUUACAUCAACCGAAACCGUCGCUUUUUCUGUACAUGGCGCGAAGAAGCGACAGGAAUGACAUGGACAUCCUCAGGAUCUGAAAGAGAAGACAAUACAGCUGUCAUUUUGAGCGACGUCUGAGACCGCAGAAUCAUGAACAUUAUUUUGCGAAUCGACUCGGCCUCCAGUGAAGUCCAGUGCGACUG